GACCUCUUGGUUAGCGGCGGACGGGUGAGUAACACGUGGGCAACCUGCCUGUAAGACUGGGAUAACUUCGGGAAACCGGAGCUAAUACCGGAUAAUCCUUUUUCUCCCAUGAGGAAAAGCUGAAAGUCGGUUUACGCUGACACUUACAGAUGGGCCCGCGGCGCAUUAGCUAGUUGGUGAGGUAACGGCUCACCAAGGCGACGAUGCGUAGCCGACCUGAGAGGGUGAUCGGCCACACUGGGACUGAGACACGGCCCAGACUCAUACGGGAGGCAGCAGUAGGGAAUCUUCCGCAAUGGACGAAAGUCUGACGGAGCAACGCCGCGUGAGCGAUGAAGGCCUUCGGGUCGUAAAGCUCUGUUGUUAGGGAAGAACAAGUACCGGUGUAACUGCCGGUACCUUGACGGUACCUAACCAGAAAGCCACGGCUAACUACGUGCCAGCAGCCGCGGUAAUACGUAGGUGGCAAGCGUUGUCCGGAAUUAUUGGGCGUAAAGCGCGCGCAGGCGGUCCUUUAAGUCUGAUGUGAAAGCCCACGGCUCAACCGUGGAGGGUCAUUGGAAACUGGGGGACUUGAGUACAGAAGAGGAAAGCGGAAUUCCACGUGUAGCGGUGAAAUGCGUAGAGAUGUGGAGGAACACCAGUGGCGAAGGCGGCUUUCUGGUCUGUAACUGACGCUGAGGCGCGAAAGCGUGGGGAGCAAACAGGAUUAGAUACCCUGGUAGUCCACGCCGUAAACGAUGAGUGCUAAGUGUUAGAGGGUUUCCGCCCUUUAGUGCUGCAGCUAACGCAUUAAGCACUCCGCCUGGGGAGUACGGCCGCAAGGCUGAAACUCAAAGGAAUUGACGGG
rnacentral:rRNA from 1 species